UAAAAAAUUUGGCGGUAUUUUAGUCUAUUCAGAGGAACCUGUUCUGUAAUUGAUAAUCCACGAUGGACCUUACUUAAAUUUGUAUUCAGUUUAUAUACCGUCGUUAUUAGAAUAUUUUAUAAGAAAAUAAAUUUUCGUAAUUUUUUUAGAAGAAAUUAUAUCAGAUCAAGGUGUAGCUAAUAUUUGAGUAGAAAUGGGUUACAAUAAAUUUAUUUAAACGAAUAUAAAUUUGAAAUGUUUAUUGAAGGUGGAUUUGAUAGUAAAAGUAUAAAGAUUAUUAUUUUGAUUUAAGCUCUAAAAUAUGUACACAUCGCCCGUCACUCUUAUUAUUAAGGUAAGAUAAGUCGUAACAUAGUAGAUGUACUGGAAAGUGUAUCUAGAAUGCAAUUUAAAGCUUAAAUAGUAAAGUAUUUCAUUUACAUUGAAGGGAUUUUUGUGCAAUUCAAUAUAAAUUGAUUAAAUUUUAUUUAUUAGAUUAGUUUUUAUUUUAAAUUUUUUUUAUUAAAAAUAAUUGUAAAAUUGAAUGUUUUAGUAUUUUAUAAAGAAAAAAUAAUUUUAAUUAUAGUUUAAUAGUAUUGUAAAAGAAAAUUGAAAUAAUUGAAAAAUUAUUAUUAUAAAAGAAAAUUUA
rnacentral:rRNA from 1 species